GCUCGCGAACAAAGGUGGCAGCAACGCCGCUGCAUGCACAAAAAGAAUUCUCUCAUACCUACUUUGCGACAAUCUCGCAGCACAGUUUUCAUGGUUUGGUAAAAAGGGAAAACACCAAUUCAGCCAGCUCCGUCUCGCUUCUUGCAUAAUAAGUGCUGUGCAAAAAGUUCAUCCUGCAGAUGAAUUCACCAUAGAAGCAGCCGUUCGAGAAUGGUUGCGUCAUGCCCCAGCAAGGCAUAGGAAUGCAGCAAGAGGAUCAACUGUUUGUGACCAGUAGCCAUUUUGCAUCAUGAAUCUUUCAAGUGGACCUUCUCUUCAAAAGGAACUUCAUUGAAGAUUUUCGUGCAGCAAUUUUUUAUUCAGAUUACUUGAAGCGUUCAAGGCGAACUUUAAUGAAGACCUUUGUAUUGUAAUUUUUCAUUCAAAUAACUUAGGGCUUUUAAGGGGAACAUCGUUGAGCAAUUUUUCAUUCAUGUCACUUCAGACCGUUUUAAGUGAACUUCAUUGAACUUUUGUACAUUUUCAUAACAUUGAAACUUUCAAGGGGAACUUCGUCGAGAAUUUUUGGUCAGCAAUUUUUUAUUCACAUCUCUUCGAAGCGUUCAAGGCGAACUUCAUUGUAGACUUUUGUACAGUAAUUUUUCAUUCACAUAACUUUAGAGCUUUCAAGGGGAACUUUCAUUCACAUCACUUCAAACUGUUCAAGGUGAACUUCAUUGAACUUCUGUACAUUCUCAUAACUUUGUAACUUUCAAGGGGAACUUCGUCGAAGAUUUUUGGUCAGCAAUUUUUUAUUCACGUCACUUCAAAGCGUUAAAGAUGAACUCCAUUGAAUAAUUUUGUACAAUAUUUUUUCAUUCACAUACCUUCACUUACAUUCAAAGACUGAUUUAAAUUUAUGUUCAAUAAAUGUGUUUGAAAACAA